rnacentral:rRNA from 1 species
GACGGACGCUGGCGGCGUGCCUAAUACAUGCAAGUCGAGCGAAGUUUUUCUGGUGCUUGCACUAGAAAAACUUAGCGGCGAACGGGUGAGUAACACGUAAAGAACCUGCCUCAUAGACUGGGACAACUAUUGGAAACGAUAGCUAAUACCGGAUAACAGUAUUUCUCGCAUGAGAGAUAUUUAAAAGUUGGUUAUGCUAACACUAUGAGAUGGCUUUGCGGUGCAUUAGCUAGUUGGUGGGGUAAAGGCCCACCAAGGCGACGAUGCAUAGCCGACCUGAGAGGGUGAUCGGCCACACUGGGACUGAGACACGGCCCAGACUCCUACGGGAGGCAGCAGUAGGGAAUCUUCCGCAAUGGGCGAAAGCCUGACGGAGCAACGCCGCGUGAGUGAAGAAGGAUUUCGGUUCGUAAAGCUCUGUUGUUAGGGAAGAAUGGAUAUGUAGUAACUAUACAUGUAAGAGACGGUACCUAACCAGAAAGCCACGGCUAACUACGUG